rnacentral:rRNA from 2 species
UAACAAUGAUUUCCCUAGUAACGGCGAGUGAAGAGGAAAGAGCUCAAAGUUGGAAACUGUUUGGCUUAGCUAAACCGUAUUGUAAACUGUAGAAACAUUUUCCUGGCACACCAGAUUAAUAAGUCCUUUGGAACAAGGCAUCAUGGAGGGUGAGAAUCCCGUCUUUGAUCUGAGUAGUUGUCUUUUGUGAUAUGUUUUCAAAGAGUCAGGUUGUUUGGGAAUGCAGCCUAAAUUGGGUGGUAAAUCUCACCUAAAGCUAAAUAUUUGCGAGAGACCGAUAGCGAACAAGUACCGUGAGGGAAAGAUGAAAAGAACUUUGAAAAGAGAGUUAAACAGUAUGUGAAAUUGUUAAAAGGGAACCGUUUGGAGCCAGACUGGUUUGCUUGUAAUCAACCUAGAAUUCGUUUUGGGUGCACUUGCAGGCUAUACCUGCCAACAACAGUUUGAUUUGGAGGAAAAAAUUAAUAGGAAUGUAGCCUCUCGAGGUGUUAUAGCCUAUUAUCAUACUCUGGAUUGGACUGAGGAACGCAGCGAAUGCCUUUAGGCAAGAUUGCUGGGUGCUUUCGCUAAUAAAUGUUAGAAUUUCUGCUUCGGGUGGUGCUAAUGUUUAAAGGAGGAACACAUCUAGUAUAUUUUUUAUUCGCUUAG